rnacentral:misc_RNA from 1 species
AUUCCAUAUUUUUAAUGCUACUACCACUUAUUGGUAAUUACAAAUAUGUAAUUAUCGUUCUAAAGUUAGAAAUUCGAAAUAACAUUCGUCAAUAUAUGAUUCUACGUUUUAUAUAGAGUAGUAAAAAUGAUACAAUGAGUUUCGUUAAAUAACCAAUAAAAAUUUUUGUUCCUUUUUCUUUUUCUUUUUUCUUUUUUCUUUUCUUUUCUUUUUUUUUUUUUUUUUUUUUUUUUUUUUUUUUUUUUUUUUUUUUUUUUUUGUUUUAUUCUUCGCGUGUUCUUUAUCAUAUCCCUGAUCAAAGACAUUCCAAUAUUAUUACAAUAUCCAAUUACAUAUUGAUACACAAGAUAUACAGAUUAUUAUUUAUAACAUUUUGGUUUUCUUAAUUGAGUUAUUCAUUUAGUACAAAUGAUAAGUAAUUAGUAAUAAGUCAUAAAAAAAAAAAAAAAAAAAAACGGUAUUGUAGUAGAAAUAUUAUAAGAAAACAUUUUCUGUUUCAGUGUAGAGUUACUCCUUUUUAUAGACAGUGUCGUACAAAUCCGUACGUCUUUGAGAAAAUGUAGGUAUCUGAGCCCUUACUUCC